GCAGAGGUCGCUUAGCCCGGUAUAGCGCCGGCCUUGAAAGCCGGUGGGAAUUUCCCUCGGGGGUUCAAAUCCCUCCCUCUGCGCCA
rnacentral:tRNA from 3 species